rnacentral:rRNA from 1 species
CUUGGUCAUUUAGAGGAAGUAAAAGUCGUAACAAGGUCUCCGUAGGUGAACCUGCGGAGGGAUCAUUACAAGUGACCCCGGUCUAACCACCGGGAUGUUCAUAACCCUUUGUUGUCCGACUCUGUUGCCUCCGGGGCGACCCUGCCUUCGGGCGGGGGCUCCGGGUGGACACUUCAAACUCUUGCGUAACUUUGCAGUCUGAGUAAACUUAAUUAAUAAAUUAAAACUUUUAACAACGGAUCUCUUGGUUCUGGCAUCGAUGAAGAACGCAGCGAAAUGCGAUAAGUAAUGUGAUUUGCAGAAUUCAGUGAAUCAUCGAAUCUUUGAACGCACAUUGCGCCCCCUGGUAUUCCGGGGGGCAUGCCUGUUCGAGCGUCAUUUCACCACUCAAGCCUCGCUUGGUAUUGGGCAUCGCGGUCCGCCGCGUGCCUCAAAUCGACCGGCUGGGUCUUCUGUCCCCUAAGCGUUGUGGAAACUAUUCGCUAAAGGGUGUUCGGGAGGCUACGCCGUAAAACAACCCCAUUUCUAAGGUUGACCUCGGAUCAGGUAGGGAUACCCGCUGAACUUAAGCAUAUCAAUAA